rnacentral:sRNA from 2 species
GCAGGACACCCGCUGAUGCAGUUUCAGGAGCGAGGACGGGGGACCCACAAUCCUCCGGGAAGCGGUCGAUCACCUCGGUGGUCGGCCUUGGGGUUAAGCCCGGCAGACGUCGCACCCAGUGACGCGAGCCGGACCGGGCACCUCUCAGCCCGAACCCGACAGCUCACCUCGUAGGCGCGUGGAGAGAGGAAAC